CCGACGGUGAGAGGCGAAAGCUGGGGGAGCAAACCGGAUUAGAUACCCUGGUAGUCCCAGCUGUAAACGAUGCGCGUUAGGUGUGUCAGUGACCACGUGUCACUGAUGUGCCGAAGGGAAACCGUGAAACGCGCCGCCUGGGGAGUACGGUCGCAAGGCUGAAACUUAAAGGAAUUGGCGGGGGAGCACCACAACAGGUGGAGCCUACGGUUUAAUCGGACUCAACGCCGGAAAUCUCACCGGAUAA
rnacentral:rRNA from 1 species